rnacentral:rRNA from 1 species
CUACCUGCAGUCGACGCGAAAGGGUAGCAAUACCCGAGUAGAGUGGCGAACGGGUGAGUAAUGUGUGGGUAAUUUGCCUUUUAGAGGGGGAUAACCCGGCGAAAGCUGAGCUAAUACCCCAUAAUAUCGCAAUGUCUUCGGACGUUAUGAUCAAAUGAUGGCCUCUAUUUAUAAGCUAUCGCUAAAAGAUGAGCCCACAUCCUAUCACGCUUGUUGGUGGGGUAAUGGCCCACCAAGGCGACGACGGGUAGCCGGCCUGAGAGGGUGUCCGGCCACACUGGAACUGAGACACGGUCCAGACUCCUACGGGAGGCAGCAGUGGGGAAUUUUUCGCAAUGGGCGAAAGCCUGACGAAGCAACGCCGCGUGGAGGAUGACGGCCCUCGUGGUCUUAAACUCCUGUCUAGCGGGACGAAAGUAUUGGAGGUGAAUAAUCUCCGAUAUUGACUGUACCGCUGGAGGAAGCUCCGGCCAACUCCGUGCCAGCAGCCGCGGUAAUACGGAGGGAGCAAGCGUUACUCGGAAUUAUUGGGCGUAAAGGGCGCGUAGGCGAUCUGACAAGUCUGGUGUGAAAGCCCACAUGUUAACUGUGGAAGUGCAUUAGAAACUGUUGGAUUUGAGUUCAGGAGAGGAAGGCAGAAUUCCCGGUGUAGCGGUGAAAUGCGUAGAGAUCGGGAGGAAUACCAGUGGCGAAGGCGGCCUUCUGGACUGACACUGACGCUGAGGCGCGAAAGCCAGGGGAGCAAACGGGAUUAGAUACCCCGGUAGUCCUGGCUGUAAACGAUGUGCACUUGGUGUGAGCCGGUUUUCGGUUCGUGCCGAAGUUAACGCAAUAAGUGCACCGCCUGGGG